UGUAAACACCACCAAUUGCGUGAUAUUCGAGGUACCUUAAGCAGAACAUUAUCCUCUCAGAACAGAAAUUCUGUGACUGUCGGCACAUCAACACAACGCGAUCCUCCAAAUGAGAUUUUAUAAGAUCAAGGUACACAUCAAAAUUAGUGUUGUGUGGGUGUGUGCGUGGUGAUGAGUGUGCAUGUGUGUGUGUUUAUAUGUGUGCAGGAGUGUCAGUGUAGGCAUAUGUGACUGUGUGGGUAGAGACCCGUGAGUGGCAAGUAGUCAGUGCAGAUAGACAGUGGGUCAGGCUGGGCAGCCAUUGCCUCGUUUUUCAAAAGUCUCAGUGCCUGGAGUUAUUGGCUGUUCAAAAGUAUCAGUGCUUGGGGAUAGAAGGUGUCUCGGAGCCUGUUGGUCCGAGACCCAAUGCUCCGGUACCGCCUAUAUGAUCCAUGAAUCAGUCCAAAACCAAAGUCCAAGAAGCAAGCUUUUUGAUUUAAAAAAUAAAUAAAUAAAUAAUAAUAAUAAAAAUACAUAAAACAGCUUUUGAUUGAUUGCGACCAAGGUGGGUUUAAGAAAAUUGUUGGAAGGCAUAGCAUAUUUGGGGUAACAUAAACCUAUAGCAAUAUGAUUUUACUAGGAUACUGCCUCACUUUUAAUAAUAGUUUUCACUCUAUAAGCCAAUAUGUAAUUUAUAGGCCUAUAGUGUAUUGCAUUGGAACCAAUGGUGUGGGUAGAGUAGAACGUGUGGCUGGGCAUAUAGAUUCUACAGAUACCAGUGAAGAGUCCCAAUCCCAAUUUUACUUCGGCACGUAGAACAGUUCUCUAUAAACCAAUAUGUAUUUCUUAUAGUGUUGCAUUGGGGGCAUUUAUUUGACCUUGUUGACCAACCCAAAUGAAAUGCAAAUAUCACUUAAUUAUGAACACAUGAGUUAUUGUUUAGACAAUUAUUGCCCAUAUAUCAUGAAUAAAUACAGGUUACGGGCUCUUUUAUACUAUUACGUGAGGAACUUUUAUUUAUUUGGAAUAUUUUCGAAAUUCCGUGACCCAGAAGUACUUUUUUUAUUGUUGCGGACACUUUCUUUUGGAUUAGCAAAUUGUAGCUACACCACCAACAUAAAUACAACAAUUCAUAAAUGUAUUGAGCAACAAACAUCUUCAUACGGAUUAUAACUGCCAGUUCAAUCAAAAAUAAAACGCAGACCGCAAUUUGUGACUGGAUUAAGGCGAAACAAGGACGGAGAGAGAGAGAGAGAGACAAAUAUAGCUACUAGCUAACGUUGCGUUAGCCUGUUAACGCAAGGGCUCAACAGCAAGUUGACAUGAAUUCUCUCGUCGGCUAUAGCGUGUCCUCUGAUUCUGACAGCGAUGGGGAUAUUGUAAACAACAAGAAAUGAGCCCUGAAUUGCACAAAUGCCAGAAAAUAGGACACCGGGGUUAACACGCCUACUCUUACGAUAAGUGCCAUGGGAUCUUUAUGACCUCAGAGAGUCAGGACACUCGUUUAACGUUCCAUCUGAAAGACGGCACCCUACACCAAUCACUGCCUUGGGGCAUUGGGAUAUUGUUUUAGACCAGAGGAAAGAGUGCCUCCUACUGGCCCUCCAACACCAUCUGGUCUCCCAUCCAGGAACUGAACAGUACCAACCCUGCUUAGCUUCAGAAGCAAGCCAGCAGUAGUAUGCAGGGUGGUAUGAUGGUAUGCAGCUGAUUUACAUAACUGAUUUACAUAACUCAGAGACCCAAGGAAUUUCCAGUUAGCCAUCCCUGAGACCCAGUGUGGUAACUCGUAUGUCUAAAGUUGAGUAAAGAAAUUGGGUACAGUGGGACUUAUUGUAAAAUAGCUUUAUGAAUGAAAACAUCUAUCAACCUACGUGGCAUAAAAGAGGGCUGACCAACUUUUUUUUUUUUGGAUGUCAUAAGGUGAAUGCACCAAUUUGUAAGUCGCUCUGGAUAAGAGCGUCUGCUAAAUGACUUAAAUGUAAAUGUAAAUGUAGAAUGCAGUGAUGAGUCCUACAAUUGUUGGCCAUAAUUAAUGUGCUACGACAAACUGCAUCUAACGGCUUUAGUGGCGUGGCCGCUGUGUCUCUAGUAUAGAGGAUGCUGCCAUAGUCUAGGGCUGAUAGGAACGUGGACUGAAUAAUCCGUUUUCUACUCCUUAAUGAGAGACAGCAACUUCUUCUAUCGAAGAAGCUCAUUUUUAUUCUCAGCUCCUUAACUAACUUGGCAAUGUGCUUUUUAAAAGACAGCUUUUCAUCUUUUCAGAUGCACAGACAUUUGUAAGCAGGGACAUGAUCAAUAUGGACACCAUCCAACAGUACACAUGCUUAGAUCAUGCGCUCUAGAGAACAACGUAUACUUAGUUUUACUGGUUACUGGUCUAGGCCAAUUGAGGAAAGACUCUGAAUUAGCAGUGAGCGAUCAACUGUAUCGAAAGCCCUUGACAGGUCAAUGAAGAGGUCAUCUCAAUAUUGCCUUUUACCCAUACAGUUAACCGCUAAAAUAUUUGAAUCCUUUAUUAAUUCUCAGCUCUGUCUUAUCUUUGAAAUGUAUUCUAAAUGUACACUACCGGUUAGAAGUUUUAGAACACCUACUCAUAUUUAUUUAUCUUGCUCCUUUGCACCCCAGUAUCUCUACUUGCACAUGUGUACAGUGCCUUGCGAAAGUAUUCGGCCCCCUUGAACUUUGCAACCUUUUGCCACAUUUCAGGCUUCAAACAUAAAGAUAUAAAACUGUAUUAUUUUGUGAAGAAUCAACAACAAGUGGGACACAAUCAUGAAGUGGAACGACAUUUAUUGGAUAUUUCAAACUUUUUUUAACAAAUCAAAAACUGAAAAAUUUGGCAAAAGGUCGCAAAGUUCAAGGGGGCCGAAUACUUUCGCAAGGCACAGUAUGUAUGUUUGUGUGUGUGUAUAUAUAUUUUAUUUUAUUUUAUUUUUUAUAUAUAUUCUGCACAUCUACCAUUCCAGUGUUUAAUUGCUAUAUUGUAAUUAUUUCGCCACCAUGGCCUAUUUAUUGCCUUUACCUCCCUUAUCCUACCCCAGUUGCACAUACUAUGUAUAGACUUUUUCUACUGUAUUAUUGACUGUAUGUUUGUUUAUUCCAUGUGUAACUCUGUGUUGUUGUAUGUGUCGAACUGCUUUGCUUUAUCUUGGCCAUCUCGCAAUUGCAAAUGAGAACUUGUUUUCAACUAGCCUACCUGGUUAAAUAAAGGUGGAGAAAAAAAAAUGAAAAAAUCUAGUUUAUUUUAUUUUAUUUGAACUAUUUUCUACAUUGUAGAAUAAUAGUGAAGACAUCAAAACUAUGAAAUAACACAUAUGGAACCAUAAAAUAUUUAAAUUUGAGAUUCUUCAAAUAGCCACCCUUUGCCUUGAUGACAGCUUUGCACACUUCUGGCAUUCUGUCAACCAGCUUCAUGAGGUAGUCACCUGGAAUGCAUUUCAAAUAACAGGUGUACCUUAUAAAAGUUACUUUGUGGAAUUUCUUUCCUUAAUGCAUUCAAGCCAAUCAGUUGUGUUGUGACAAGGUAGGGGGGUAUACAUAAGAUAGCCCUAUUUGGUAAAAGACCAAGUCUAUAUUAUGACAGGGACACCUCAAAUAAGAUAAGAGAAACGACAGUCCAUCAUUACUUUAAGACAUGAAGAUCAGUCUAUUCCCGGAAAAUGUCAAGAACUUUAAAAGUUUCUUCAAGUGCAGUCGCAAAAACCAUCAAGCUCUAUGAUGAAUCUGGCUCUCAUGAGGACUGCAACAGGAAAGGAAGACCCAGAGUUACCUCUGCUGCAGAGGAUAAGUUCAUUAGAGGUACCAGCCUCAUAAAUUGCAGCCCCAAUAAAUGCUUCACAGAGUUAAAGUAACAAACACAUCUCAACAUCAACUGUUCAGAGGAGACUGUGUGAAUCAGGCCUUAAUGGUCGAAUUGCUGCAAAGAAACCACUACUAAAGGACACUAAUAAUAAGAAGAGACUUGCCAAGAAACACAAGCAAUGGACAUUAGACUGGUGAAAAUGUGUCCUUUGGUUUGGAAUCCAAGUAUGAGAUUUUUGGUUCCAACCGGCGUGUCUUUGAGAGACACUGUGUGGGUGAAUGGAUGAUCUCAGCAUGUGUAUUCCCCACCGUGAAGCAUGGAAGAGGAGGUGUUAUGUUGUGGGGGUGCUUUGCUGGUGACACUGUGAUUUAUUUAGAAUUCAAGGCACACUUAACCAGCAUGGCUACCACAGCAUUCUGCAGCAAUACGCCAUUCCACCUGGUUUGGGCUUAGUCGGACUAUAAUUUGUUUUUCAACAGGACAAUGACCCGACACACCUCCAGGCUGUGUAAGGGCUAUUUUACAGAGAAGGAUGAUGGAGUGCUGCAUCAGAUGACCUGGCCUGCACAUUCCCCCCAAUCUCAACCAAAUUGAGAUGGUUUGGGAUAAUUCGGAUCGCAGAGUGAAGGACAAGAGGGCAACAAGUGCUCAGCAUUUGUGGGAACUCCUUCAAGACUGUAGGAAAAGCAUUCCAGGUGAAGCUGGUUGAAAGAAUGCCAUGAGUGUGCAAAUCUGUCAUCAAGGUAAAGGGUGGCUAUUUGAAGAAUCUCAAAUAUAUAAUAUAUUGAUUUGCUUAACACUUUUUGGUUACUACAUGAUUCCAUAUGUGUUAUUUCAUAGUUUUUGAUGUCUUCACUAUUAUUCUACAAUGUAGAAAAUUGUAAAAAUAAAGAAAACCCUUGAAUGAGUCGGUGUUCUAAAACCUUUGACUGGUAGUGUACAUCAGUCAGGUUUUAAACCAUCCCUAGUUAUAAAUGAUGCUAGUCUGUAGCUCAGUUGGUAGAGCAUGGCGCUUGUAACGCCAGGGUAGUGGGUUCGAUUCCCGGGACCACCCAUACGUAGAAUGUAUGCACACAUGACUGUAAGUCGCUUUGGAUAAAAGCGUCUGCUAAAUGGCAUAUAUUAUUAUUAUUAUUAUUAAUAUCUUUGAAAUGUAUUCUAAAUGUACAUCAGUCGGGUUUUAAAUCAGGUCAACCCUAGUUAUAAAUGAUGCUAGGCAAGAAAGUUUAGAAAUAGGCAGAUACUUAUUUAAGUCAAAAGGGUCACCUUCCAAACCUUGGGGAUAGUGCCAGAUAUAAUCAUCAGGUAUAGGUAUAUAAUCGUCAGCCUUAGUGGAUUUUUUGUUUUUACAUCAAUCUUAAGCAAGGCACAUCACAGAUAGUGAAUUGUUGGAAUGAAAACAAAUAUUCACUAGAAGUUGACAGGUUAAUCGUCGAGUCAGCUAGAGGCUGGCAGAGGGAAAAGCAGUCAAUUGACUGACCAGGGUCAAUUAAACAACUGUUUCUCUCAAAUAUUAAGCCUGCUGAGAUGAUACAAUUAUAAUUAAAAGCAUCACUUAUCCCAUUCUUCCCAGUUACGAUGCCAGAGUCAGACAGAACUUGCUGAGGCAGGGAAGAAGAAUAAUUGUUAUGCUUCAGUGCAUUUACUGUUUUUCCCAAAUUUUGAAGGAUCACCAGCCGAGUCAGAGAUGGAGCUUAUAAAAGGUAACUUGAUUUUGCUUUCUUAAUCACGAUAGUACAUCUGUCUCUGAAUUCUGAAAGUGUGCCAGUCCACCACUGGAGUCACUUUUCCUUGCUUUAGCCCAGGCCCGAUUUCUUAUCUGAAUUGAGUUCAGAUAGAUCUAACCUUUGGUUUUCUUCGGAGCUAUCUUUGACUCUAAAUGGUUUUUAAAGGGGGUGUCAGAGGAAUGCAUAUAGAGGAUACAUUUUCUAGAGCCAAUUCUGGGUCAGGAAUACAGGAGGCAGUGGCUAAAUCAGAGGAGAACAUGUUAUGCAAAACCCCUUUAGGGGAGAACUUCUUUUUUAAAAUCUUAAUUAAACAAUGAUUAGUAUUUUGCUGUUUCUGAUCUCUAAUGCAAUACUCCACUAGUCAAAUAUUAGUUAACGUUACCUUUAUGAAUUAUGAAGCCUUUGUGCUUUAUGUUUGUUUUGAUUCCAUAAAUGUUUCAAAAUGGACAAAAAGUGACGUUAGCUGAUGAAGAUUAUGUCAAAACGUACAAGAUCUCCCUAAGCCUGUGUUUACCACAGACCUUAUUUUCGGCAGUUAACCAGAAACCCUCCAAAAACUCCAUUCAUUUUCCCAUGGGCUUUGUCCAAUGAACCAUGAGUUGGUGCCUACAAAACGAUGCCAUUACUAUUGUUCUCUAUGGAGAGGAGUGUUGUGAUUGGUCUUGCUAUCCAAACCAGAUAUGAUUUCCUCUUCCAGUCAAAUUAAAUAUUUCCAGAUUGAGAAGUCCUUGAAAUCUUUUUUUGGAUAACACUACAGCUAGUAUACCAGUC